GACAGAGGCCUCGAGCGUUAGGCGGAAUCACUGGGCUUAAAGCGUGUGUAGGCGGACCUCUAAGUACCUUGUGAAAUCCCACGGCUCACCCGUGGAACCGCUGGGUAUACUGGGGGUCUUGGGCCACUCAGGGGCGACUGGAACAAGCGGUGGAGCGGUGAAAUGCGUAGAUAUCGCUUGGAACGCCGAAGGUGAAAACAGGUCGCUGGGAGUGCGCCGACGCUGAGACACGAAAGCCAGGGGAGG
rnacentral:rRNA from 1 species